rnacentral:rRNA from 1 species
AGCUCCAAUAGCGUAUAUUAAAGUUGUUGCGGUUAAAAAGCUCGUAGUUGGAUCUCGGCAGGUAGGGGGCGGUUCGUUUCUGACGGCACUGCCCCAUUUACCUGUGUUUAUGCAAGAGGUCUCAAGGUGGCUUUAAUCGGCUGUCUUGGAACGCUUGCAGUUUUACUUUGAAAAAAUUAGAGUGCUCAAAGCAGGCUACAAAGCUUGAAUAUUUGUGCAUGGAAUAAUGGAAUAGGAAGUCGUUUCUAUUUUUUUGGUUUUCGGAAAUUGACUUAAUGAUUAAUAGGGACAGCCGGGGGCAUUAGUACUCAGACGACAGAGGUGAAAUUCUUGGACCGUUUGAGGACUAACUACUGCGAAAGCAUUUGCCAAGAGUGUUUUCA